rnacentral:rRNA from 1 species
CUAUCAUGCGAGUCGAGCGGGACAGAAAUGGCAGCUUGCUCCCGGAUGUUAGCGGCGGUACGGGUGAGUAACACGUGGGUUAACCUGCCCUGUAAGCACUGGGCAUAACUCCGGGAAACCGGCAGCUAAUACCGGCAUAGUUCCUUGUAACCGCAUGGUUCAAGGAAUGAAAGACGGUUUCGGCUGUCACUUACAGAUGGACCCGCGGCGCAUUAGCUAGUUGGUGAGGUAACGGCUCACCAAUGCGACGAUGCGUAGCCCACCUGAGAGGGUGAUCGGCCACACUGGGACUGAACACGGCCCACACUCCUACGGGAGGCAGCAGUAUGGAAUCUUCCGCAAUGGACGAAAGUCUGACGGACAACGCCGCGUGAGUGAUGAAGGUUUUCGGAUCGUAAGCUCUGUUGUUAGGGAAGAACAAGUGCAAGAUAACUGCUUGCACCUUGACGGUACCUAACCAGAAAGCCACGGCUAAAUACAUGCCAGCAGCCGCGGUAAUACUUA